rnacentral:rRNA from 1 species
UCUGGGAUUAGAUACCCUGUUAUUUAAAAUGUAAAUUAAAAAAUUAAGGUAGUAGUAGUUAUGUUCUUGAAACUUAAAAAAUUUGGCGGUAUUUUAGUCUAUUCAGAGGAACCUGUUUUAUAAUCGAUAAUCCACGAUGGACCUUACUUAAAUUUGUAAUCAGUUUAUAUACCGUCGUUAUUAAAAUAUUUUAUUAGAAUGAUAAUAUUUAUAAUUUUUUAUAAAGAAAUAUAUCAGAUCAAGGUGUAGCUAAUAUUUAAGUAUAAAUGGGUUACAAUAAAUUUAUUUAAAUGAAUAUAAAUUUGAAAUAUUUUAUUGAAGGUGGAUUUGAUAGUAAAAUUAUAUAGAUUAAUAAUUUGAUUUUAGCUCUAAAAUAUGUACAAAUCGCCCG